GGAAAAAAUAAGAACCAAGAUGCAUUAUAUAAAGGUACAAUUCCCAAUGAGAAAUGUAAUUGUGUUGUAUACGUACAAUGUACCAAUAAAAGAAUUUAAUACAAAAGAGAGAAAAAGAGCUAUCCCUGGGCCAGGGAUUUAGCUCAGUGGUUUUGCUGCCUGCUGUGUAAGUGCAAGGACCCAAAUUCAAUCCCCAGUACCAAAAAAAAAAAAAAAGAGCUAUCCCUGUGUUUCCUAUACAUAUCUAUAAGAUGUUCAGCUUCUUAGUGGGAGGGCUGGCUAAUAUGUGUGUUCAUUUAGAGAAUUAUAGCUUAUGUCUACAGCCAUACCACCCUGAACACGCCCGAUCUCGUCUGAUCUCAGAAGGUCUAAUAAUCAGAAAAAUACAAGGCUUUCUUGUUCAGAGGUUUUCAGCCUUCAACCUGAAAGACAACGCGAAGCUUUGAACUGUUCCAUGCCCACUCUGCAGGACACCUGGGGAGGUCUCCGUGCACACACAGGGCCUGCGGCUCCACCGAGGCUGUUGCCGGGAAGGGGACACCACAACGCCUGAAUGGAGGUUCAGAUUAUUCUUAACGCUGAGCACCUUGAACUUAUAAUUCUUAGGGGACAGAAAUCUGAGUCCCAAGAUGUCUUCAAAUUAGAAGCCAUAUUGAAAAAACUCUCGUUUAAAACCAGACUCACAGUGGUUCUGCCGCCUGCCUCGCAAGCGCAAGGUCCCAAGUUCAAUCCCUGGUACCAAAAAAAUAAAAUAAAACCAGACUCAGAUCUUUACAGAAUAGGUCAGAUCUGUAGUAAUUUAAAUUCUGUCUAUAAUUUUAUUAUUCUAAAAACCAUUUUAGAAGCAUAAUGCUCACUAUUCUGAGCCAAGGAUGUUACUAGAAUUACCUUUGACCACACUGUAUUUGAAUAAGGUUUUAUGAUAUUCUGUUUGUGAUACUUAAUAGCUGUGUGACUUUAAGCAAAUUUUAAAAUUUCUCUUAUUUCAGUUUCAUAAUCUAUAAAAUAAUGAAGGUUAUGGCAGGGAUUAAAUGUAUUAAUGUACCUGACACGUAAUAACCAGUUUGUAAAUAUUCAUUGUCAACAUUAUCAUCCACUUAUUAACUCGUAAUUUUUACAGAAAAGCCAUCAGCACAAAAUUAAUAAAAUCAUUGUAACACAAUUCUUGCAUUCUCAAAAUUUAAAGAUAUUUUUAAAAAAUAGGUUCCUAAAACCCCAAUUACUAUUAACUUGGCUCAGAAUUAACUACUCUAAGCACAUUCGUAUCCUUUCUAGUUGCCCACUUCCACCCAACCUUCCUGCCACCCUAAAUUCCUGCAAAAAGGGAGUCCAGUUGUGUCAGAAAAUAGCUAAUCACACCUUGAAACUGAUUCUAAGCAUGAGCCUGCUAAGGGAAUGAGUACCCUCCAGAAGAUUCUAAGAAAUACUAGCAAACAGGAUUCCUUCCUUCACUAUAUAGCUGGCCUUCCACAUUCACGGGUUCUGCAUCAGUGCAGUCAACAAACCAGGAAUUGAAAUUUUCUUUUUUUUUUAACAAAAAAAGUGGGGCUGGGUAUGAAGCUCAGGGGCAGAGUGCUCUCAUUGCAUACACAAGACCCUGGGUUCAAUCCCCAGCUUUACACACACACACACAAAAAGUGUGUACUAAACAUAUAAUCAUUUUUCUUGACAUUAUUCCUGAA
ensembl:lncRNA